UGGAGCCACCGCAGCCACCUGGGUCUGCUCCGGGUGAUUUCUGCCCUUUUCAUCCAAAUCCAGCCCUUCAGCCUGGCAGGCAAAGGAAAAUCCAGGUGCUGAAUGGAUCUCUGCUGGUGCUUCUGGCCAGGACAUGCUGCCAGGCAGAGCCAGCCCUUGGGGAGGAACCGUGAGGGAGCGAGGAGGGGCCGGAGCCAUGAGGGCGUGAGGGGAGCCAUGAGGGCAUGAGGGAAGCCAUGAGGGAGGGACCCGGGUUACUGCUCCCAGGAGGAGGGGACAGAUGUGGGAAUACACAGCAACAUCAGGGACCACACCAGCUACCUCCAGACUCCUUGGAAACAUUAAAAAUGGAAUGUUUCUC